AGUGAACGCUGGCGGUAGGCCUAACACAUGCAAGUCGAACGGCAGCACAGUAAGAGCUUGCUCUUACGGGUGGCGAGUGGCGGACGGGUGAGGAAUACAUCGGAAUCUACUUUUUCGUGGGGGAUAACGUAGGGAAACUUACGCUAAUACCGCAUACGACCUACGGGUGAAAGCAGGGGAUCUUCGGACCUUGCGCGAUUGAAUGAGCCGAUGUCGGAUUAGCUAGUUGGCGGGGUAAAGGCCCACCAAGGCGACGAUCCGUAGCUGGUCUGAGAGGAUGACCGGCCCACCGGAAACGGAGACACGGUCCAGACGCCAAGGGGAGGAAGCAGUGGGGAAUAUUGGACAAUGGGCGCAAGCCUGAUCCAGCCAUCCCGCGUGGGUGAAGAGGGCCUUCGGGUUGUAAAGCCCUUUUGUUGGGAAAGAAAAGCAGCAGGUUAACACCCCGCUGUCCUGAGGGUACCAAAAGAAUAAGAACCGGUUAACUUCGU
rnacentral:rRNA from 1 species